GAUGAACGCUGGCGGCGUGCUUAACACAUGCAAGUCGAACGGAAAGGCCCUGCUUGCAGGGUACUCGAGUGGCGAACGGGCGAGUAACACGUGGGUGAUCUGCCCUGUACUUUGGGAUAAGCCUGGGAAACUGGGUCUAAUACCGAAUAUGACAAAUGUUUGAAUGCGAUGGUGGAAAGCUUUUGCGGUAUGGGAUGAGCUCGCGGCCUAUCAGCUUGCUGGUGGGGUAAUGGCGUACCAAGGCGUCGACGGGUAGCCGGCCUGCGAGGGUGUACGGCCACAUUGGGCCUGAGAUACGGCCCAGACUACGACGGGAGGCAGCAGUGGGGAAUAUUGCACAAUGGGCGCAAGCCUGAGGCAGCGACGCCGCGUGGGGGAUGACGGCCUUCGGGUUGUAAACUCCUUUCGCAACCGACGAAGCCUUUUGGUGACGGUAGGUUGAGAAGAAGCACCGGCUAACUACGUG
rnacentral:rRNA from 1 species